UCGCCUGCUGUACCCGGUAGUCGUCCAGGAGCCGUUCUUCAUCAAGAAAGAAACGCACUUCAGUUUUAUGGCUGGAUUUCUUGAUGCACUGAGGCCAGCACCGUUUGCUAGUGUGCACUUCAAGAGGUCGCAGGUGAAAGCCACACUGUGGCUUACUGCCAUGAAGGUGUUCUGGGUGUCCAAUGGCAAGCUGGAAGGGGUUCUCACUCCUAAAAAGGAGAAAGAAUAUUCGGAAGCCAACACAAUCUUCUUGGGCACUGUGAUUGGUGCACUUGCACAACAUCUGCUGGAUGUGUACCUUCAUCACACGGUCGCAAAAGGAGUUGUGGGACGAUCUGACUGCUAACUACGAUGGCUCAGAUACUGGCACUGAACUGUACAUCAUUGAGCAGUAUCAUGACUACAAGAUGGUUGACGGAAAAUCUAUAGUCGCUCAGGCUCAUGAAUUACAGUGCAUGGUGAAGGAACUCGAUCUGCUAAAGAUUGUCGUGUCCGACAAGUUUGUGGCUGGGGGCAUUAUUGCCAAGUUACCUCCAUCCUAGAGGGACUUGGCCACUUCACUCAAACACAAGAGGACAGAAAUUUCUGUUUUAGACUUGAUUGCAUCUCUUGAUGUUGAGGAGAAAGCUCGAGCUAAAGAUGGACGAUCUAAAGCUGUUGAGGGUCAGACCAGUGCCAAUAUGGUGCACCAAUCACAUCACAAUGGCAAUGGUGGCAAGGGCAAGGGCAAGAACAAUAAGCCUAAGCAGUCCACUACCUUCAAGAAGAAUAAGAACAAGGAGAACGAGGGAUGCUUCAUGUGCGGUUCUACUGACCAUUGGGCAAAGAAGUGCCCAAACCGGAAAGGAAGAAAACCUCCACAACAGAAGUCUUUGAGCAUGGACCAGCACUGGAGACAAAAAUAGUGGGUCGCUCGGGAUUCCUCCGUCCUAACGGGGAAUGGGUCACAUGCUUCUGUUCAUGGUGUUGGUACGGUAGAUCUGAAGUUUACUUCAGGAAAGAUCAUGUAGCUGAAGAACGUGCAGCAUGUCCCUUCUAUCAAGAAGAAUCUAGUUAGUGGCUCCCUUUUGUGUAGGGAUGGUUUUAAGGUAGUGCUUGAGUCUAAUAAAAUUGUUGUGUCUAAGAGUGGAUAAUUUAUUGGUAAAGGCUAUGAGUGCGGAGGCUUGUUCCGCUUUUCCCUUUCAGAUUAUUGCAAUAAGUCUGUGAACUAUA